rnacentral:rRNA from 1 species
ACUCCUACGGGAGGCAGCAGUGGGGAAUUUUGGACAAUGGGCGCAAGCCUGAUCCAGCCAUGCCGCGUGUCUGAAGAAGGCCUUCGGGUUGUAAAGGACUUUUGUCCGGGAGCAAAUCCUAGUGGUUAAUAACCGCUGGGUCUGAGAGUACCGGAAGAAUAAGCACCGGCUAACUACGUGCCAGCAGCCGCGGUAAU